rnacentral:snRNA from 1 species
GUCCCUUCGGGGACAUCCGAUAAAAUUGGAACGAUACAGAGAAGAUUAGCAUGGUUCCUGCGCAAGGAUAACACGCAUAAAUCGAGAAAUGGUCCAAAUUUUU